CGAAAGCGUGGGGAGCAAACAGGAUUAGAUACCCUGGUAGUCCAUGCCCUAAACGAUGUCGACUGGUUGUUGGGGGUUUGACACUCUCAGUAACGAAGCUAACGCGUGAAGUCGACCGCCUGGGGAGUACGGCCGCAAGGUUAAAACUCAAAGGAAUUGACGGGGACCCGCACAAGCGGUGGAUUAUGUGGAUUAAUUCGAUGCAACGCGAAAAACCUUACCUACCCUUGACAUGUCCUGGAGGCUGGGGAAACCCGGCUGUGCCCGAAAGGGAACGGGAACACAGGUGCUGCAUGGCUGUCGUCAGCUCGUGCCGUGAGAUGUUGGGUUAAGUCCCGCAACGAGCGCAACCCUUGUCAUUAGUUGCUACAUUCAGUUGGGCACUCUAAUGAGACUGCCGGUGACAAACCGGAGGAAGGUGGGGAUGACGUCAAGUCCUCAUGGCCCUUAUGGGUAGGGCUUCACACGUAAUACAAUGGCGCGUACAGAGGGCUGCUAAGCCGCGAGGUAGAGCCAAUCCCUUAAAGCGCGUCGUAGUCCGGAUUGCAGUCUGCAACUCGACUGCAUGAAGUCGGAAUCGCUAGUAAUCGCGGAUCAGCAUGGCGCGGUGAAUACGUUCCCGGGUCUUGUACACACCGCCCGUCACACUAUGGGAGUGGGUUUCACCAGAAGCCGGUCGCUUAACCGCAAGGAUGGCGCCGACCACGGUGAGAUUCAUGACUGGGGUGAAGUCGUAACAAGGUAGCCGUA
rnacentral:rRNA from 1 species